UGGGGGAAUAUUGCACAAUGGGGGAAACCCGUACGAUGCAGCGACGCCGCGUGAAGGAAGAAGUAUUUUCGGUUAUGUAAACUUCUAUCAGCAGGGAAGAUAAUGACGGUACCUGACUAAGAAGCUCCGGCUAAAUACGUGCCAGCAGCCGCGGUAAUACGUAUGGAGCAAGCGUUAUCCGGAUUUACUGGGUGUAAAGGGUGCGCAGGUGGCGUGGCAAGUCAGAUGUGAAAGCCCCGGGGCUCAACCCCGGUACUGCAUUGGAAACUGUCGUACUAGAGUGUCGGAGGGGUAAGUGGAAUUCCUAGUGUAGCGGUGAAAUGCGUAGAUAUUAGGAGGAACACCAGUGGCGAAGGCGGCUUACUGGACGAUAACUGACGCUGAGGCUCGAAAGCGUGGGGAGCAAACAGGGAUUAGAUACCCUGGUAGU
rnacentral:rRNA from 1 species